CUGACCAUCAUCACAGAGACCUCAGAUGUCGGGGAGCUGAGGGCUGCACUCUGACGGCUGCUCUUUGUUGUAAAUUUCUUUCUCAGGGGCCUGGAGAGAGUCAUGCCCACAGGCCAGACCUUAACAUUCCUUUCUGCUGACCCCAAGUUUUCGACAAAGCCUGGCUUCCUUAACCAAUUGCAAUCAAAGAAUCCUGAAGCCGCCUAUGACCUGUAAGCCCCUUGCUUCAAGAGCUUCCGCCUUUUUGGGCCAAACCAAUGUAUACCCUCUGCAUUGAUUUAUGGUUUCCCUGUAACUUCUGCUUUCCUGAAUUGUUCCCCUGCCUUUAAAAUCCCUUGCUUGUAAGCCAUCCAGGAGGUUGGGUCUGAAGUUUCCAUGAUGGAAAAUCUAAUGGCCACUUUCCAUUACCACAUCCCAGGAGCAGUCCAGGCUUCCCUCCAUUUCCACAAUGACCCCAACUGUUUCACCACUCGCUCCUCAAAGAACCUCUGGAUUUGUUUCUAGCUUUUGGCUAUGAGGAAUAAGCCUGCUGAGAACAUUCAGCUCCAGGAUUUUGUGUGAAUGGACAGAGAAUUUACAGCUUACCGAGCCAGGCCAUUGCACUUUUGGACAACUCUACUAAAUGGAUUUUCCUCAUGCCAUUGCAUAACUGCUACCUGCCACCAGAGCCUCAGAAAUACAUGGUUUUCCAUCAAGCACUCAUGGAACAUGUAACUGUGGGCGCUUCUAGGGCGGUUCAUGAUGGAUCCUCCAAGAUCAACUAAAUAUAAAACAAGCUCCCAGCUGAGGCAGCUGCUCUCGCCUCUUCUUUCACUCGCUCCUGGCAGCACAGCAAUCUCUGCAAGUUACUUGGACCCUCAGGACUCCUUGUUCAAGUGCAAUGGAGGACCAUGCAGAUGGCAGGGAAAACCAAAGAAAGCUCAGGUGGCCCAUCAUGGCUGUCAUCGGUGGAAGAACGUCUCUAUUUAACACUGAACCUUAGUAAUGACAUGCUCUCCCCUUGUCCUGGACCUUCAUUUUGAAAUAGAGCAUUCGGGUGGGAGGGGAACCACGGGGGCAUUUCAAUCCUGAACCUGCUCUGGGCGGUGGCUCUAGCCUUUGGGAUUUUGUGCUCAUUUACAGUUUUUUGAGAUGGAAUCUUGCUCUGUCUCCCAGGCUGGAGUGCAGUGGUAUAAUCUUGGCUCAGUGCAACCUCCAUCUCCUGGGUUCAAGCAAUUCUCCUGCCUCAGCUUCCUGAGUAGCUGGGAUUACAGGUUCACGCCACCAUGCCCAGCUAAUUUUUGUAUUUUUAGUAGAGAUGGGGUUUCACCAUGUUGGCCGGGCUGGUCUCAAACUCUUGACCUCAAGUGAUCCACCUGUCUCGGCCUCCCGAAGUGUUGGGAUUACAGGCGUGAGCCACCACGCCUGGUCUGUCCUCAUUUACUUAAAGAGCCAUUACUCACCCCCAAUUCCCCAUAGAUAGUGGCCAACUUCUUUGAAAUCUGGAGACAUUUUCAAAUGCUCAACCCUUUUUUCAGCAAUUCUAUCUGUUUCUAAAAUAAGUGUCACUCAGGAUGGAUAUGCUUUUAGAGAAACACUGUGACAAAGACCCUUUGCUCCAGAGGAAGGACCUGCAGUGGCCCCAGGCUGUGGCUCCAGCAUCACUUGAGACAGUGUGAACAUUUGGACACAAUUAAAAUGAGGACACUUAAUCAAAGAACACACUUACAAAGGAAAGGGGCAGGAAAGCCAGGAGGCAGCAGGUGUGGGACCCCACAUGGGACAGGCAGCUGUGUGUUGUUGGUACCACCUUCCUGCCAUGGCUUUCCUACACCAGCAGAGAGAAAGCCCAUUUCUGCUCUCUGCUGCAAGACUCUCUGGAUGGAAGGCCCAGUUCCACAGGAAAGAAAUCCUGGUGGCUGAGGCGUGCCUGUGCAUAGCCUGGAUGGCUCGGCCUGUGGCCGGCAGGCACCCAGGGCCCCUGGUGGGGGUCUCACCCGCUUGGGAUGGCCUCAGCUCCCAGGCUGCAGCCACCACUGCCAUUUCAAAGCUCCUCCAGCAUUCUGGAUGCUUAGCCAGCCUGGGGACCCUCUCUCUGCUCUUCGGGUAUCUUACAGGUAAGAAAGAUGUCAUUGUAAGCUUUUACCCUUGGAAACACAUUCAUUCCAAACAUAUCAAAAGAACUUAUUAGGCCGUGUGUGGUGGCUUAUGCCUGUAAUCCCAGAGCUUUGGGAGGCCCAGGUGGGCGGAUCGCUUGAGCCCAGGAAUUUGAGAACAGCCUGGACCUCCUUGACUUCUGGGGAGUUUAUGAGGGACCUGGACACUGUCAGAGUGGUUUUUUGUUUCCCUUUGUGUACAGUUUUGAGUUCAUUGUUUAUGUAUUAGGGUUUGGAAUAGGAUCAUAUAAAUAUUUCAGGUCCUAAAAUAGCUGUGACAGUGUCACUAAUCUGCCCCUGAGCUGAACAUCCACCCCUCCGCCGCCAUUUAAUCCUCCAGUCAUGUGAGGGAGGAUGGGAGUCUGUGUGAACGUCAUUCUCACUCGCCUUCAAAGAUCAUAUCUGCCUGUCUCAUCUGUCAAGAACGUAGAGUUUGUUGUGAUGGUGUAUUCAAAAUAGACGAAACGUGUGGUCAUUGUACUUGGCAAACAGCUUUUCACGUCAGGAUGUUUCUGCCCCCGGCUCAGGGCUGGUCCGACUGUGUGAAGAAUGUGGCUCAGUGCAGGUGCCCAGUCUGCCACCCUCAGUCCCGCAGCUGCAGUGUUAGAAUAACUGUGCUGUGGGCACCCAGCGUUGGUGACAUGGGGAAUGUGGAAUAAUGAAUACUUAAUUCACAUGUGCUUAUAGAAAAAACUUUAUACAAUAAAAAUAACCAAUUGUUAUAUUUACAUCUUUUUCUGUCACUAUAUAUAAAAGGAAUCAAGAAUUUUCAUGCAGCUUCCGGGUAUUCUUGAGACUGGUAUAUCAUUUCUUUUUGAAAAGUGCAUUAUUGCAUAACACCACCUAGAUAAAUAUAUUUUUAUGUAUUUAUAAGUAUAUUUUAGCUCAAAAAUAUCAAUAGUAUACAUAGCUU
rnacentral:lncRNA from 10 species